CGGUGCUGCUGGCACCUGCAGAAGCCUGGUGACACACUCCAAGGUGCCCAGAAACGUUGGCAAAAGAGUUAGUGGUCCAACAGCACUAUCACAGUGACGUCUCUGUCCACAGACCCAGGUCUUUGGUGAACCUUCUUAUUCUCUAUUCUUGUAGCAGGGAUAACUAGAGUUAGGUGAGCAGGGGUUUGGCUCUGAGGACAUCAGGAGAAUGCACGCCUCCCAGGCAAAGUGGCUGGGCCAUUGGAAGGUGAAUAGGGGUCCAGAAGAAGCCACCACAGCCACAAGAGAAUUGAAUCAGGGGAUAUACCUCUCCCUUUCCCAGUGGAAUAUCCAACUGUAUCCACAGGAAGAAGAAAUGUUAGUACCCUUCCAGGCAUCUGUCCUGCCGCUUGUGGGCCUGUUGGCCACUGGGUCUGCUGUCUGAAUCAGGGCUUACUGGAGGCAAUGCUGCUGUGGUUUCCUCUCUAGAGACCUUGGUCUUCAGUCUGGGCUGUGCUCUACAAGAGAGAAGUGCCCCAGAACAGUCUUUUCUCAGUGCUGGAUGAGGCAGGAACACUAUGUGAUGGGCCUUCCUCAGCCAAAACUCAUUACAGAACCUUCUGGGGAGGAGGGAGAGAUCUUCCUGAGGCUUCAAGAGAGGAACCAGCUAAUCAGGCUGUGCCUCAACUGCAGUGACAGAGACCAGACCUUGAAGCACUGUCACAAUAUUCCCUGCUAUGAGGAUAACCAGCUACACAUCAAAGCUGAAAAAUGUCUAAGAAAGCCGAGGAGGCUUUCAAGCACUGUGGAUGAGACUCUCUGCAAGCCCACAGACUGAAGUAUGCUGACUGUAUUGGAGGUUGACAUGUCAGAGGUAAGAGUACGUAGAGUUGUGUCCCAAUGACAGGAAAAACAUGGGAACUCUUCCCAUAUUCAAACAAACUGCCCCCCACAGAGAGAAAUUAUGAUAUUGGAAAUUGGGAGUUGCUUGCACUUAAACUAGCCUUGGAGAAGUGAUAUCAUUUGUUGGAUAUAUUUCAUGUAUUUUAUUGCCCUGCUUCUAAGAAUAACAGCGCUGAAACACUAUCUUGAUUAGGUGAAGAAGAGCCUAUAGUACAAGAGAUUGGACCCAUACAUUAUUGAACACCAACUAUUCAGGAAUACAGAGGACCAUGUAGUUCCUCACUGAGAGGUAUACUCUCCAUCACGACACUUAUGUAUGAUCCUGCUCGAUCUGUGCCAUGACCAGGAUUACACAUCACACUCCAACAGAUAAACUGCUCUCUCUUCCUCGUAUCACAUGUCUGUAGACUUCCUCACUGAUCUUUCUAAAUCUGUAACACAGAAUUAAAGCUAUAACACAUUUAAUAGUGGAGACUUCUCAAAGGGAUGCUGUAUCAUUCCCUGUUAGGGACUGUACAGUGUUUUCAAGGUUGCUAAGGCCCUGUUCAUUAAGUGCAGACUUCAGCAUUACUCAGGCUAACGCCCCCUAACUACAGUGUACAAGAGGGAACUUGGAGAGGUUCCUCCUAAGCUACUGGACUACCCUCUCCACUGGGCAAAGGUCAUCCCCUUGGGCUGAAUAUGCCCAAAACUCACUUUGCCAUUCAUAGUGAAUUAACCCCAUUUCAGUGUGUGUUGGGUUACAUACACUGAACUCCUGGGCUAGAGUCUGGAAGAGGAAAAGUGGUUUGCCAGACAGAGGAAACAGACAGCAUGGCCCCUGCUUACCAGCAUGGUUAUCAAUUCUGGAAGUUCACAAGAAACAUCUGUCUAAACUUGCCUUGUAUGAAGAUGAGCUUCAAAUAUGUGAGGCUUUUAAAUCUAUCCAGUCAUUUAUAAGUUUAUGGUUCUCUCUACUUACCAAAUUUCAUCUACUUUUAAUGUUUUGCUCCUUAGGCAGGUGAUUCCUGGUCUCUUGUCAGAGAUGAUUACCCUGAAGCUUCCCCCUCCUCUGUUGUACAUGGAAGACACCCAUGCUUACACAGUUUAUUCUCUUCUGAGCCUUCAUCAGUUUCCUCUAUAACAUUGUCACUGUUUUCAUGGCAUCAUUUGCCAUGUGUUUCUAUUUUCCUUUUGUUCCCAUGGUGUUAUUUGCUAUGUGGUUUUGUAUUAUUUGUCAGCUCUGUCCUUGUUUAAUUUUUUGUGAAUCCCUGCCCAGUAUUGUUUCACCUGUGUAUUCUACUAAUGUACCUGUUUAUUUAAACUUUGUGUUGUGUUGUCCUAAUGGUCAGUUCUUUGUAUUUGUUCUUAUGAAUUUCUGUUGCAUGUGUCUGCUUAGUAUAUGUGGAAACUCUGGUAAUCUCAGUUGUGUUUGAUCUCUCAAUUUCAGUAUCUGUUUUGUUUAAAUCUUGCCCUGUUUGCAUUGUAGUAUUCCUUUUAUUUCCCUCAUUUCUCAUAAAUCUGAAUUGCAGUUGCAUUCUGUGCUACAUCUCACAUUCGGUAUACCACAACCAGAGUAGCAACUGUAUCUAGUCUCAUCAUUGUGUGACAGACAUGCUAAACACAGGAGAGGAAGACAGACUUUGCAAGGACAGGGUAAUAAAGAAUGCUAACUUAAUAGCAAAUAUAAAAAGCCUGAAGCUGAGGGUCUAAUCAGUUCCACAGAUAUGCUCUGCACAUGGUGGGAUGCAGCACAUGGACUCAGAGGAGAUUCGGCAGGGUGCUGGAAUCCCUUUUGUCAGAGCAUAUGAAACAUCUCCCCAAGCUGCAGCUUCAGGAGCUGAAAUCAGAAGUGAUGCAAUGAGAUCAAAGAAGCCCUUGAAUCACAAGAACAAAUGGGAAGUGAGGUCUAUCAAACUCAGAGACCCUCAAGGCUGAGCUACUUACAGUGUCCACAGUUGCUAUGUUUACAUGCUGUUUAAA